rnacentral:lncRNA from 1 species
GUUUCAGUGCCAUGUUUAUGCUGCCCAACACAAGAGCCCAACUUAGAAAUCUCUUCUACAAUGGCAUCUAAGGGCAAUAAGCAAGGACUAAUUCAGACUCCUACGUUUCAUGAGCAGCAGUCACAACACAUCAAGUAGGCAUGACUGACUUCUCUACAUGUCUAACUUGGGUACCAAGAUGACUUUUUCCCACUGACUACACAGGAAACUAAGAUCUAGCAAUGUGUCAUAACAGGUGGUCAGAAUUGCUCACCAGACUUUUGACUUGACAUGUUGUCAUUGCUCCUAUGCUGCUUCAUACCAGGCAACUGGAACACAAUUCCUCACUCAGCCCAAUCUUUGUUCUGUGGAAUAAAUACAUACAUUCUUGUACAGUGCUUUUCAAUGGUACAUCAGGAAGUGACUUUGUAGUAAGCUCUCUUUCAGAGGACAGAUUAUGACUAUCUUCUGCAAUGUAUGUGGGUGAGCCAGUGAUCUGGAGAAUAGUUUCAUGCAAGUGCCUAAACAUUUUGAUACCUUCUCUUCUUGAAAGAACAGAAUUAACUGCCAGUAAAAUCAGCUCAAGUGGAAGACCACAAUCUUGGGAAAUAAAGCUCAUCAAGGUCGAGGUCCAGCCAGGGCCCCAUGGGAAGGAACAUAUGGAAAGCAGCAGCAGCAAGUUCUGCUCCACGUGCAGCUUUGCAGGGCUGAGUAUCUCUUGAUGCCCUGUUUGGGAUUGCUCUGCAUGGCCAAGCACUGUAAAAAAGAGCUGAAAAUAGCCAGAGCGGAAGCACGCAGGGCUUUAAAAACAAAAGCAAAUACUUACAAAGCACCUAACCCUAAAAGACC